AGUGAACGCUGGCGGCAGGCCUAACACAUGCAAGUCGAACGGCAGCACGAGAGAGCUUGCUCUCUUGGUGGCGAGUGGCGGACGGGUGAGGAAUACAUCGGAAUCUGCCCAAUCGUGGGGGAUAACCUCGGGAAACCGGGACUAAUACCGCAUACGACCUACGGGUGAAAGCGGAGGACCGCAAGGCUUCGCGCGAUUGGAUGAGCCGAUGUCGGAUUAGCUAGUUGGAGGGGUAACGGC
rnacentral:rRNA from 1 species